rnacentral:tRNA from 1 species
GGAGGGGUGGCAGAGCGGUCAAUUGCACCGGUCUUGAAAACCGGAGGCCGAGAGGUCACGUGGGUUCGAAUCCCACCCCCUCCG